rnacentral:rRNA from 1 species
UGCAAGUCGAACGAUGAAGCCCAGCUUGCUGGGUGGAUUAGUGGCGAACGGGUGAGUAACACGUGAGUAACCUGCCCUUGACUCUGGGAUAAGCCUGGGAAACUGGGUCUAAUACCGGAUAUGACCUUCCAUCGCAUGGUGGUUGGUGGAAAGCUUUUGUGGUUUUGGAUGGACUCGCGGCCUAUCAGCUUGUUGGUGGGGUAAUGGCCUACCAAGGCGAUGACGGGUAGCCGGCCUGAGAGGGUGACCGGCCACACUGGGACUGAGACACGGCCCAGACUCCUACGGGAGGCAGCAGUGGGGAAUAUUGCACAAUGGGCGCAAGCCUGAUGCAGCGACGCCGCGUGAGGGAUGACGGCCUUCGGGUUGUAAACCUCUUUCAGUAGGGAAGAAGCGAAAGUGACGGUACCUGCAGAAGAAGCGCCGGCUAACUACGUGCCAGCAGCCGCGGUAAUACGUAGGGCGCAAGCGUUAUCCGGAAUUAUUGGGCGUAAAGAGCUCGUAGGCGGUUUGUCGCGUCUGCUGUGAAAGACCGGGGCUCAACUCCGGUUCUGCAGUGGGUACGGGCAGACUAGAGUGAUGUAGGGGAGACUGGAAUUCCUGGUGUAGCGGUGAAAUGCGCAGAUAUCAGGAGGAACACCGAUGGCGAAGGCAGGUCUCUGGGCAUUAACUGACGCUGAGGAGCGAAAGCAUGGGGAGCGAACAGGAUUAGAUACCCUGGUAGUCCAUGCCGUAAACGUUGGGCACUAG